GACGAACGCUGGCGGCGUGCUUAACACAUGCAAGUCGAACGGAAAGGCCCUGCUUUUGUGGGGUGCUCGAGUGGCGAACGGGUGAGUAACACGUGAGUAACCUGCCCUUGACUUUGGGAGAACUUCAGGAAACUGGGGCUAAUACCGGAUAGGAGCUCCUGCUGCAUGGUGGGGGUUGGAAAGUUUCGGCGGUUGGGGAUGGACUCGCGGCUUAUCAGCUUGUUGGUGGGGUAGUGGCUUACCAAGGCUUUGACGGGUAGCCGGCCUGAGAGGGUGACCGGGCACAUUGGGACUGAGAUACGGCCCAGGCUCCUACGGAAGGCAGCAGUGGGGAAUAUUGCACAAUGGGCGGAAGCCUGAUGCAGCAACGCCGCGUGCGGGAUGACGGCCUUCGGGUUGUAAACCGCUUUCGCCUGUGACGAAGCGUGAGUGACGGUAAUGGGUAAAGAAGCACCGGCUAACUACGUG
rnacentral:rRNA from 1 species